UACGGGGGGAGCAAGCGUUGUUCGGAUUUACUGGGCGUAAAGGGCGCGUAGGCGGUAGCACAAGUCAGUUGUGAAAUCUCCGGGCUUAACCCGGAAAGGUCAACUGAUACUGUGCGACUAGAGUGCAGAAGGGGCAACUGGAAUUCUCGGUGUAGCGGUGAAAUGCGUAGAUAUCGAGAGGAACACCUGCGGCGAAGGCGGGUUGCUGGGCUGACACUGACGCUGAGGCGCGAAAGCCAGGGGAGCGAACGGG
rnacentral:rRNA from 1 species